rnacentral:rRNA from 1 species
UGCAGUCGAGCGGUAGCACAGAGGAGCUUGCUCCUUGGGUGACGAGCGGCGGACGGGUGAGUAAUGUCUGGGAAACUGCCUGAUGGAGGGGGAUAACUACUGGAAACGGUAGCUAAUACCGCAUAACCUCGCAAGAGCAAAGAGGGGGACCUUAGGGCCUCUCGCCAUCAGAUGUGCCCAGAUGGGAUUAGCUAGUAGGUGAGGUAAUGGCUCACCUAGGCGACGAUCCCUAGCUGGUCUGAGAGGAUGACCAGCCACACUGGAACUGAGACACGGUCCAGACUCCUACGGGAGGCAGCAGUGGGGAAUAUUGCACAAUGGGCGCAAGCCUGAUGCAGCCAUGCCGCGUGUGUGAAGAAGGCCUUCGGGUUGUAAAGCACUUUCAGCGAGGAGGAAGGCGGUAAGGUUAAUAACCUUAUCGAUUGACGUUACUCGCAGAAGAAGCACCGGCUAACUCCGUGCCAGCAGCCGCGGUAAUACGGAGGGUGCAAGCGUUAAUCGGAAUGACUGGGCGUAAAGCGCACGCAGGCGGUCUGUUAAGUUGGAUGUGAAAUCCCCGGGCUUAACCUGGGAACUGCAUUCAAAACUGACAGGCUAGAGUCUUGUAGAGGGGGGGUAGAAUUCCAGGUGUAGCGGUGAAAUGCGUAGAGAUCUGGGAGGAAUACCGGUGGCGAAGGCGGCCCCCUGGACAAAGACUGACGCUCAGUGCGAAAGCGUGGGGAGCAAACAGGAUAGAUACCCUGGUAGUCCA